UCCCAAUGACAUCUCCUUAAUCGGAGAGUUCCCUUCGGGGACAUUGGUGACAGGUGGUGCAUGGUUGUCGUCAGCUCGUGUCGUGAGAUGUUGGGUUAAGUCCCGCAACGAGCGCAACCCUUGUCUUUAGUUGCCAUCAUUAAGUUGGGCACUCUAGAGAGACUGCCAGGGAUAACCUGGAGGAAGGUGGGGAUGACGUCAAAUCAUCAUGCCCCUUAUGCUUAGGGCUACACACGUGCUACAAUGGGUAGUACAGAGGGUUGCCAAGCCGUAAGGUGGAGCUAAUCCCUUAAAGCUACUCUCAGUUCGGAUUGUAGGCUGAAACUCGCCUACAUGAAGCUGGAGUUACUAGUAAUCGCAGAUCAGAAUGCUGCGGUGAAUGCGUUCCCGGGUCUUGUACACACCGCCCGUCACACCACGGGAGUUGGAGACGCCCGAAGCCGAUUAUCUAACCUUUUGGAAGAAGUCGUCGAAGGUGGAAUCAAUAACUGGGGUGAAGUCGUAACAAGGUAGCCGUAUCGGAAGGUGCGGCUGGAUCACCUCCUUU
rnacentral:rRNA from 1 species